rnacentral:tmRNA from 1 species
CUGUCACAAUGCGGGAGUCCGGUUUCGGCCGGACUAGGUGGUCCACACCAGUGUUUCGGACAGCGGUUCGAUUCCGCUCAGCUCCAUUGCUCCCUGCCAGGUUGGUGGGGCGCCCUCCCAGCCCCCGGGCUGGGACCAUCAGGGGCUGCAAUGGUUUCGACGGGGCAUGAGGAGGGUGACUGAAGCCUGCUCGGUAAGAGCACACACGUAACAGCGAACAACAUCGUUCGUUUCUCCCGUCAAGCCGCCCCUGUGGCUGCCUGACUUAGUUAGGGAGAUGGGGUGAGAUCAGCCUUAUCACCCAAAUGAUCCAUGGGGCCUGGAAGGGCCC